AUGUUCAAGCUGGUUUUAGAAAAGGCAGAGAAACCAGAGAUCAAAUUGCCAACAUCCGCUGGAUCAUGGAAAAAGAAAGAGAGUUCCAGAAAAACAUCUGUUUCUGUUUUAUUGACUAUGCCAAAGCCUUUGACUGUGUGGAUCACAAUAAACUGGAAAAUUCUGAAAGAAAUGGGAAUACCAGACCACCUGACCUGCCUCUUGAGAAACCUAUAUGCAGGUCAGGAAGCAACAGUUAGAACUGGACGUGGAACAACAGACUGGUUCCAAAUAGGAAAAGGAGUACAUCAAGGCUGUGUAUUUUCUCCCUGCUUAUUUAACUUCUAUGCAGAGUACAUCAUGAGAAACGCUGGACUGGAAGAAAUACAAGCUGGAAUCAAGAUUGCCGGGAGAAAUAUCAUUAACCUCAGAUAUGCAGAUGACACCACCCUUAUGGCACAAAAUGAAGAGGAACUAAAAAGCCUCUUGAUGAAAGUGAAAGAGAAGAGUGAAAAAGUUGGCUUACAGCUCAACAUUCAGAAUAUGAAGAUCAUGGCAUCUGGUCCCAUCACUUCAUGGGAAAUAGAUGGGGAAAUAGGGGAAACAGUGUCAGACUUUAUUUUGAGGGGCUGCAAAAUCACUGCAGAUGGUGACUGCAGCCAUGAAAUUAAAAGACGCUUAUGCCUUGAAAGGAAAGUUAUGACCAACCUAGAUGGCAUAUUGAAAAGCAGAGACAUUACUUUGCCCACAAAGGUCCGUCUAAUCAAGGCUAUGGUUUUUCCAGCAGUCAUGUAUGGAUGUGAGAGUUGGACUGUGAAGAAAGCUGAGCGCCAAAGAAUUGAUGCUUUUGAAUUGUGGUGUUGGAGAAGACUCUUUAGAGUCCCAUGGACUACAAGGAGAUCCAACCAGUCCAUUCUAAAGGAUAUCUGUCCUGGGUGUUCUUUGGAAGGAAUGAUGCUAAAGCUGAAACUCCAGUAUUUUGGCCACCUCAUGCGAAGAGUUGACUCAUUGGAAAAGACUCUGAUGCUGGGAGGGAUUGGAGGCAGGACAGAGGAUGAGAUGGCUGGAUGGCAUCACUGA
rnacentral:lncRNA from 1 species